AUCUAAUGGUGGGGGCAGCUAGCACAUAGUCGAUUGAAUCUUUCCCAUUAUUCAUAAAAAGACUCUCCAGUUUGUUGGUGAACGCAACAAAUUUCAUUUAUGAAGGU